UAUGAUAGUAAUUAAUAUUUCCAACAUACAAGCUCUUGCCAUCGCCUAUUUUCUUUGCUUCGUUUAAAACAGCGUCCACUCUGACAAACGUGUCAUCGUCACACUUCAUGAUAUACUUGGCAGAUGCUAAACGAGCAACAACAUGUGAAGAUUUAAUAAGAUUAUGCUGCAUCCAGGACUUCCUGACAGCCAUCCGUUCGGCAAAAUGA
rnacentral:lncRNA from 1 species